rnacentral:rRNA from 1 species
UGCCUAAUACAUGCAAGUCGAGCGAACGGACGAGAAGCUUGCUUCUCUGAUGUUAGCGGCGGACGGGUGAGUAACACGUGGAUAACCUACCUAUAAGACUGGGAUAACUUCGGGAAACCGGAGCUAAUACCGGAUAAUAUUUUGAACCGCAUGGUUCAAAAGUGAAAGACGGUCUUGCUGUCACUUAUAGAUGGAUCCGCGCUGCAUUAGCUAGUUGGUAAGGUAACGGCUUACCAAGGCAACGAUGCAUAGCCGACCUGAGAGGGUGAUCGGCCACACUGGAACUGAGACACGGUCCAGACUCCUACGGGAGGCAGCAGUAGGGAAUCUUCCGCAAUGGGCGAAAGCCUGACGGAGCAACGCCGCGUGAGUGAUGAAGGUCUUCGGAUCGUAAAACUCUGUUAUUAGGGAAGAACAUAUGUGUAAGUAACUGUGCACAUCUUGACGGUACCUAAUCAGAAAGCCACGGCUAACUACGUGCCAGCAGCCGCGGUAAUACGUAGGUGGCAAGCGUUAUCCGGAAUUAUUGGGCGUAAAGCGCGCGUAGGCGGUUUUUUAAGUCUGAUGUGAAAGCCCACGGCUCAACCGUGGAGGGUCAUUGGAAACUGGAAUACUUGAGUGCAGAAGAGGAAAGUGGAAUUCCAUGUGUAGCGGUGAUAUGCGCAGAGAUAUGGAGGUACACCAGUGGCGAAGG